rnacentral:rRNA from 1 species
GGGUGCGAUCAUGCCAUCAUUAAUGCACUGAUCCCAUCAGAACUCCGAAGUUAACCGUGCUUGGGCGAGAGCAGUACUAAGAUGGAUGACCUCUUGGGAAGUGAUAGAGCAUAUUUU